AUUGGUAUUCAACCCGCGACCCUUCAUUUACAGAAAAGCUCUUACCGACAGCGCCCGUUCUGCCGUUCGUCGGCGGCCGCUAUGGCUCGCACGGGAGGAUGAAGGAACGCUCGCCGGGGUGUGUGCGGCGAAGACGGCUUCUGCCAAGCGGCGAGGUGGAGCAGGGGCGGUGGUUGUCGGGCUACAUAAGGAGGCAGAGGCGGCCAAGGCAAGGAGGCACCGGCGUCGGCUAGCCAAGAGGCGGCCGAAGCAGAGGAGGACGGGAAGGCAAGGAGGCACGGGCACCGGCUAGCCAAGGGGCGGACGGAGUAGAGGACGAUGGGAGGCGGUCGACCAUGGAUGCGAAGGUGCUCGCAAGUAGGGAGGAGCAGAGGCGACGACGGAGUGGCUCGGGUGCUCGCGCUCGUGCAGUGUCAGAGGUCAAGAUUUCCAACACGAGAGAGUGGUCGGUGUUGUGCUGGACCGCCAUGGCCACUAGCGGUGGUGGAGGAGGGAUGAACGCCAUGGCCGCUGGUCCUGGUGGAGCAGGGGAGCCGGGAGAUUCGACGGCGCGCGGGGGUCCUGGCAGCGUGGAGGGACGCCCGCCAUGGCCGCUGGUGUCCUGUGGAGCAGGGGCUCGGCGGCGCGGGGGAGCAGGCGUCCCGCUGGUGGGGAGCGGGGCCGGGCAUCCGGGAUAGGGCGGCGCAUCUCGCGGCGAGGUGGAGCAGGUGCGGUGAGGGAUGGGAAUGGAUAAGAGCUGCGCUUUGGCGACGGGGCUCGCGGAAGAGAAAACUGAGGAGCCAAAUUUC
rnacentral:rRNA from 1 species